UACGGGGGGGGCAAGCGUUGUUCGGAAUUACUGGGCGUAAAGGGCUCGUAGGCGGCCAACUAAGUCAGACGUGAAAUCCCCAGGCUCAACCUGGGAACUGCGUCUGGUACUGGAUGGCUUGAAUCCGGGAGAGGGAUGCAGAAUUCCAGGUGUAGCGGUGAAAUGCGUAGAUAUCUGGAGGAAUACCGGUGGCGAAGGCGGCAUCCUGGACCGGCAUUGACGCUGAGGAGCGAAAGCCAGGGGAGCAAACGGG
rnacentral:rRNA from 1 species